GACGUAGGGCGCGAGCGUUGUCCGGAUUUAUUGGGCGUAAAGAGCUCGUAGGCGGCUUGUCGCGUCGUCCGUGAAAACUUGGGGCUCAACCCCAAGCUUGCGGUCGAUACGGGCAUCACUGGAGUUCGGCAGGGGAGACUGGAAUUCCUGGUGUAGCGGUGAAAUGCGCAGAUAGUCAGGAGGAACACCAAUGGCGAAGGCAGCUCGCUGGGACGGUACUGACGCUGAGACGCGAAAGCGUGGGGAGCGAACGGG
rnacentral:rRNA from 1 species